GGUUCCAUGGUGUAGCGAUUAGCACUCAAAGACUCUGAAUGCUGCGACCGAGUUGAAAUCUCGGUGGAAACU